rnacentral:ncRNA from 1 species
UGUUGUUGCAGUAGUAAUCCUGCUCAGUACAAGAGGAAUUGCAGGUUCAGACAUUUGGUGUAUGUGCUUGGCUGAGGAUCCAGUGGGUGAAGCUACCACCCGUGGGAUUAUGACUGAAUACCUGUAAAUCAGAACCCCUCCUAAACGUAAUGAUACCGCAGCACUGUCGAGCCUUGGUUCACCCUAGGUAGCUGGCUGCCCCCAGUGAGGCAGCAGGGCCUGGUGUGGAGAGCUAUUCAUGUCAGGACCAGACCAUGGACAGAAGGGAGCCGCCUCUCACCCAUAGCAUGCCACAUGUUCGUGGGGAACCUGGUGGUAAAUCAUUCAUAAAUAAUCUGAUUCUGAGUCAGGUUUUUGUAUGUAGCAGAGCAUCUGCCUCACUGCGAUAUCAUGAAAGUCAGCACUUGACACAAGCCUUU